GACGAACGCUGGCGGCGCGCUUAACACAUGCAAGUCGAACGGAAAGGCCUGCUUUCCCUUGUGGAUUGCGGGUACUCGAGUGGCGAACGGGUGAGUAACACGUGAGUGAUCUGCCCCCAACUUGGGUAUAAGCCUGGGAAACUGGGUCUAAUUCCCGAUAGGACUGCAGGGUGGGGCCUGUGGUGGAAAACGAUUUUCUAGUGGUUGGGGAUGAGCUCGUGGCCUAUCAGCUUGUUGGUGGGGUAAUGGCCUACCAAGGCGGCGACGGGUAGCCGGCCUGAGGGGGUGGACCGCCACAUUGGGACUGAGAUACGGCCCAGACUCCUACGGGAGGCAGCAGUGGGGAAUAUGGCGCAGUGGGCGGAAGCCUGAUGCAGCGACGCCGCGUGGGGGAUGCCGGCCUUCGGGUUGUAAACUCCUUUCGACCGCGAGGAAGCCACCUGGUUGGAAGGGUGGUGACGGUAGUGGUAGAAGAAGCACCGGCUAACUACGUG
rnacentral:rRNA from 1 species